rnacentral:rRNA from 1 species
GACCGCCGUGAACCUGCGGAAGGAUCAUUA